rnacentral:misc_RNA from 1 species
CUCAUUACUGCGUGUCUUCAACAGCGCAAAACCCGAAACCGACACAUAGCCAGGCUGUCCAAUGAUUUAUAAACACGUGUACUUUCUGACACAAAAUCAGCGACUUUGGAAAAACUACUAUUCACCGACUUUCUUUGUAAGGCAAGAAUCGCCGUUGCUUUGCCUCAUAAGGCGGUCUGGGAAUUCAUUUUCUUCUAAAUUCUCUCUCUGUUAUUGACUAUCUGAUUUUUUCUAUCUCUUUGGCUGCGAUUAGGAUUUGAUUUCGAUUUCGAUUUAUAUUUUCGCUAAUAUAAAUUGAGAAAUCUCUGAAGAUCAAUUAUGCAGCGAUUCGUUGAUACUGUCCUCGCUGUAACCAAAGAGUCAGUGAAGACAUUCACUUAUGAGUCUUUGCAUAAUAUCGUGAGGCUGAUAAAUGGAGUGUCAGCACUUUUGUUGACGCUAUUGCCAGGGAAGGCUAAUAUCCUUGAAGGUCUUCAUGGCUGGGAGCUUAGGCCAACUGUUCGUGGACCACGAUUCCCCCGCUGGAUGGAGAAUGGGGUGUCCUCUUUCAACAAAUUCAUCCAUGAUCUGUCAAUGGAUUCUGAUACUUCAAGUGAGGAUUAUUCAUCAGCAGAAGAAGAUAGUGAUGGAAUAUGUCCUGCAUCACCAUUAUCUCAAAGUUCACGAGUCUCGAGGACAAAUUCUUUCAGGAAGAAUAGCGGGUACCGGAAAGGAUGGACUAUGCUCUUAUUAUCAUGGAUUCUCUUUCCUGUGAGGUUUUUGCUAGGGAUACCAUUAUGUCUUUGUCGUUUAUUUUACAUUAGGACCUCCUUUAUGAGGGGAAGCCACAGGCCUUCACGAUUACAUUCUAUUAGGAGAGUGAAUACUCCAAAGGAUCAUGUCAUUCAUCAUACCACUGACAGGAGACGUGGAGUCAUUGAGGUUUCUGCAAGAACUUCAAUAUGUUACCUAUCCUUGUUCCUUUUCUUUCUUUUCUGUUCCUUUCUGCCUCUUGUGUCAUUAUUACGCAUUAUCUCAUGCCUCUUUUAUGUUGUCGCAACAGGAUCUUCAUCUGGCAAUUGAGAUAUUCAUAGAAGCAAUAUUUGAUUUUUUCCAUAAAGCUGCACAUUUUCUUCUUUCUCCAUCAGAAGUUUUGAGAAUACCAUACAGAUGGUUUUCAUAUCAGAGAAGUGGCCAUGAAGAUACUAAUGGCAUGUCAGAUACAUCUGUUCCCACCGCUACCCUUGGAGAGAGUGAUCCAACUCCUACAGAAAGGAAAACUACCUUUCACCAGUCUCUGAAUACAGAUGCUCGGACUUGUCAGGAUGUAAUAACAGAGCUUGGAUACCCAUAUGAAGCAAUUCGGGUGAUCACUGCAGAUGGAUAUGUUCUUCUUCUAGAAAGAAUUCCCAGACGUGAUUCGCGGAAAGCUCUUUACCUUCAGCAUGGGCUUUUGGAUUCAUCCAUGGGUUGGGUGUCUAAUGGGAUUGUUGGCUCUCCAGCUUUCGCAGCAUAUGAUCAAGGUUGGUAACAUUUGCCUCAAGACUCUAUGCAUCUUCUGAUGCAAUAUUAUUAAAAUUGAAGAACAUGCUGCUGGUUUCUUUUUACACAGGGUUUGAUGUUUUCCUUGGGAAUUUUCGUGGUUUGGUUUCUCGAGAACAUGUUGACAAGAACAUUUCCUCACGAAAGUAAGUCAAUUCGGUAUUAUGGCGGCUUUUUAACAUGGAACUAUCUUUAAUUUCCAUCUUUGACAAUGAAAUGUGGAAAAGACAAGUUUCUUGUAUGCACUUGAUUAAUAUGCUGAUGACUUAAUUGAAAGUAGCAAAUUAAUACAGGUAUUGGAGGUAUUCCAUCAAUGAGCAUGGGAUGGAGGAUAUCCCAGCAAUGAUAGAGAAGAUUCACCAAGUUAAAACUGCAGAACUGAAAAUUAGCCAGCCUGAUCUUGAGGAAGAAAUGAAUGAUGAUCAACCUUACAAACUCUGUGCAAUUAGCCAUAGCUUGGGAGGAGCUGCCAUGCUGAUGUAUGUUAUCACACGCUGUAUUGAAGAAAAGCCUCAUAGACUUUCCAGAUUGAUUCUAUUGUCACCUG